rnacentral:rRNA from 1 species
CCUGGUUAUUUAUGCAACUUGGCACCACCCUUUUCCAUCCCGAACAAGGAAGUGAAACAAGUUAGCGCCAAUGAUACUAUCGCCGAGAGGUGGAGGGAAAGUAGGUCAUAGCCAGGG